rnacentral:rRNA from 1 species
AUUGAACGCUGGCGGCAUGCCUUACACAUGCAAGUCGAACGGUAACGCGGGGCAACCUGGCGACGAGUGGCGAACGGGUGAGUAAUGCAUCGGAACGUACCCAGUAGUGGGGGAUAGCCCGGCGAAAGCCGGAUUAAUACCGCAUACGACCUACGGGUGAAAGGGGGGGAUCGCAAGACCUCUCGCUAUUGGAGCGGCCGAUGUCAGAUUAGGUAGUUGGUGGGGUAAAAGCCUACCAAGCCUGUGAUCUGUAGCUGGUCUGAGAGGACGACCAGCCACACUGGGACUGAGACACGGCCCAGACUCCUACGGGAGGCAGCAGUGGGGAAUUUUGGACAAUGGGCGCAAGCCUGAUCCAGCAAUGCCGCGUGCGGGACGAAGGCCUUCGGUUGUAAACCGCUUUCAGCCGGAAGAAAUACGCCAAGGCUAAUAUCCUUGGUGGAUGACGGUACCGGAAGAAGAAGACACCGGCUAACUACGUGCCAGCAGCCGCGGU